UACAGGGGUGCAAAGCGUUGCCGUGAAUUAUUGGGCGUAAAGAGCUCGUAGGCGGUCUGUCGCGUCUGCUGUGAAAACCUAGGGCUUAACCCUGGGCCUGCAGUGGGUACGGGCAGACUAGAGUGCGGUAGGGGAGACUGGAAUUCCUGGUGUAGCGGUGAAAUGCGCAGAUAUCAGGAGGAACACCGGUGGCGAAGGCGGGUCUCUGGGCCGUAACUGACGCUGAGACGCGAAAGCGUGGGGAGCAAACAGG
rnacentral:rRNA from 1 species